rnacentral:rRNA from 1 species
AAGUCGUAACAAGGUUUCCGUAGGUGGUUCGCCUACGCACCGUUCAGUCAGCGCCUCUGCAGGCCUGGCAACGCAUCCAUCCUGGCUGGAAAUGGUCCUCUUCGGGCCUUUACCAGCGGCUUCCCCCAAGGAAGCUCACAGAUCAGACGGGUGUGGCCUCCCCGAGGAGGUUGAGAUAUGAUCGGCCCAGGCUGUCGCCCGCCUGGACUGUUGCGGAACCUGCGGAAGGAUCAUUACAGAGAGGAGCUCCGCGCUCCAGGGGGUUCGCCCCCGCCUCUCAACCCCGUGUAUAUCAUACCUUUGUUGCUUUGGCGGGCCUUGGGGUCAUGCUCAUGCCGGGCUUUUCGCCCGGCGAGUGCUCGCCGGAAGCCUACCAAAACUCGUUUAAUUUAUGCUGUCAGAGUCUAAACACAAAUGAAGCAAAACUUUCAACAACGGAUCUCUUGGUUCUGGCAUCGAUGAAGAACGCAGCGAAAUGCGAUAAGUAAUGUGAAUUGCAGAAUUCAGUGAAUCAUCGAAUCUUUGAACGCACAUUGCGCCCCUCGGUAUUCCGGGGGCAUACCUGUUCGAGCGUCAUUACACCUCUCAAGCGUAGCUUGGUAUUGGGCCUCGCUCCCUCACAAGGGCGUGCCUGAAAAGUAGUGGCGGUCCGGCGUGGCCUUGAACGUAGUAAAUUUUCUCCCGUUCUGAAGGCUCACGUCGCGGCUGGCCAGAAUCGCCCACUUUCAAGAAUUGACCUCGGAUCAGGUAGGGAUACCCGCUGAACUUAA